rnacentral:rRNA from 1 species
CGCACGGGUGCGUAACGCGUAACCAACCUACCCGCAUCUGGGGGAUAGCCCGCCGAAAGGCGGAUUAAUACCGCAUAAAACAACAGCCUGGCAUCAGGCAAUUGUUAAAGAUUUAUUGGAUGCGGAUGGGGUUGCGUGCCAUUAGCUAGUUGGGGAGGUAACGGCUCACCAAGGCGACGAUGGCUAGGGGAGCUGAGAGGCUGGUCCCCCACACGGGCACUGAGAUACGGGCCCG